GUCCACGCCGUAACGAUGGUCACUAAGUGUCGGGGUCAAACCCCGGUGCUGCAGUCAACGCAAUAAGUGACCCGCCUGAGUAGUACGUUCGCAAGAAUGAAACUCAAAGGAAUUGACGGGGCCCGCACAAGCGGUGGAGCAUGUGGUUUAAUUCGAAGCAACGCGAAGAACCUUACCAGGUCUUGACAUCGAUCUAAAAGGGAUGGAGACAUCCUCAUAGCUAUAGAGAAGACAGGUGGUGCAUGGUUGUCGU
rnacentral:rRNA from 1 species